UACUAAAAUGUUUAAGAUUUUGUAUUUACAAGCUCACAAGAAUGUGUCCUAAAAAUACAAUCUAUAAAGUGUCUAGUUUCUCGAUACAUUUAUGUAUAGGCCUAUUUGAUGCUUUUCCAGGAUUUCCAGCAUCAUUCAUUGACAACUGUUCUACCAUAAGCGUGAAUGUAGCCUACAAAAUGAAAAAGCAUUAUCAGUAUACUAAUGUAGUUGGUAGCCUAUACAAGUUAUAUUAUUACAGUGCACAACAGAAUAAAUUAGCGUUUUAGGCUAUAACAGUGUUCCAUGACACCUUUUAGGUUCAUAAAUGUGUUUUUGCUAUUGUCUAUUUCGCCAGCAGACGGCGCUGAAGGCAUGUAACAACGUGGCUUCAUCUGUCUGUUUGGCUCAUACCUAACCUUUUGGAUAUAGCCUAUGUGUGAAUUUAGAUAUGUAUAAACACGUGCUUUUACUGGACACAUAGGGGCUUGUUACUGUAUUUCGCUUCUCAUAUUCUAUCAGCUGUUGUAGCUCACAUUUAAAAUGUAAAUUAACCAUCAGAUCAUCAACAAAUAAAAACAAUUGUAUAGGCCUAUUUAAAACAUUUAUCAAUCCUAUGGGAGUUUUAAUAAUGCCAAUUGUUGAUGUUAUGGGUUGAAAACCUAUGGGCAAAAUUGCGUGUUAUUUUGGCCUGUCAUUGAAGUAGUGACCACUCUUGGUCAUAUUGUUAGUGAGUAAACCUUUUUUGUUUACUCACGUCUUGUGACUAAAUGAAUUUCAACAACAAAGAUCUUAACAACGGAAUGGAAGUUAGGCUAUAUGUAGUCAUGCUUUUGUUCGGGCUUAUGUACUGAAAACACCCGAAACAAAACUAAGCAACUUAUUUGUGAUGGGCAUGUCUCCGUUUUCUGUUGGCAUUCAACUUCAGUUCAAGUGAAGCUCAUCCAUUUCAACAAUGGGGAAACAGCUAAGAUUACCUAUCCCCUUUUCAGUGCAAAAACCGAGCUGAACUUGCUGAUCGGUUCCUUUUAUGUUAAGUUAACUCAAAACACUAAUAUUUAUUUCAUGGAUAGCUACACAUCGCCUAAUUACUAACAGAAAAGGAAUAACAUCACCCUUAUUGCUAUAGCCUCUUACAACUAGACUACUACAUUCACAACUAUUACUACAACUGUUACUAUGGCCUAAUGACAGUUACUAUGGCUAGGAUAUUUGUAUGUUUAAGUUUUGAUUGAUUUUGCCCCAUUUACUUUGCCCCUGUUUAGUCGUUGAACAUUUAAAAAAAAUCACAAUAUAGCCUAGAAAUAGCAAACAUGAUAUAAAGACACAUUUACAUUUGAUUCAGUAAAGAUGAAAUAUCUAAUGAAGUUUAAAAUGUUAUUUAUUAUUCUCAGCAACUUUUGAAUGUUGGCUUAAAAUAAUAGCCAACAUAAUUAAAUGUAUCCUACUGUAUAAUUUCUGGAGCUUGUAAUCCUUCGAUUUUCAGUAGGAAGCACUUAAAGUUAGCCAUCCUAGUGAAAUGUUUCCACUUAAAGCACUUGCAAUAAUAAAUAUAUAGCUGAGGCCUAUUGGUUGAUAACAGCAGCAUCUGCCUCUGUGCUCCACCACUGACCGCAAGUAACCCCGCCCCUUUAUGAUAAAUAAAAGACACAAUCCUGGCGGAGGGAACAGUCGCUCUGUGAUUGGUCAGGUAAAAAGGCAUUUAUUCCCUGACAGCCCUCAUCACAUGAAUGGUUGUCUAUUAACUUGUUCAAAAAGUAUCAGGAGUUGUCAAAGCUCUGGCGAAGAGGGAAAAGUAGUUUGUUGAUUCUUUGAGACCAAGAGAGAAGUUUGUGGACACAACAGGACCUACUGGCUGAAAGCAAAAAGACGUUUACUAUUUCUACAAAGUUACUGAAAACGACAAGGACCUAUGCGCCUAAGGAUUACGAAGGACUACCAUGCAAGAGUUUGUUGCCUGUAAACCUAUGCUUUGAGGGGAAGAUUAUUCGCCCAAAAUGUUCAAGAUUCUCACCAAGGAUAACAGCAGUGUAUAAGAAGAGGACCCAAUGGUUCCAAAAGGCCUGGUUUUGCUCCACCGCCGUCCAACCAGAGGCUGCCGCAGCUAUUUGGACAGCAACAGGUGAAACGGUGAGAGGAGGUUGCUGAAAUCCAUAUGACCAAGACGACACAUGUCUGUCCAGGAGACUGAUACCUCACCAGAUAUGGUGUCUUUCUGACGUUCUUGAUGCACAUCCAAUGAUGAGUGGGUGAUGGUGGUCCCUCUGCUGUAACCCUGACCUCCAGAGCAUAAUGACCGCUCCAAAGACAGGACCUAAGGAGAGAUGAGUCACACGAAACACAUCUAGACACCACUGCUUCUGCUGCAAACAUGAUGGCAUGAUCUGUCUCUGUGAAGACUAACAAUAUACCUGUUGUGCAAUUCUCAGAUCAUAUGGUUCAUUUUGAAAUGGUUCAAACUGAAACAGUGAAACUUUUUACCAAUAAAGGUUACACUGCUUAUGAUAUAAACUGUAUCGUCCGUUGAUGUAUUAUAUUUCAUGAUGUUACAUAUCUUCAAUAAAUCAAUUGGUGUCUUUGGUAUAAA